rnacentral:rRNA from 1 species
AGUCACUGACAUUAGAUACCCCCGGUAGUCCAGGGUGUAAACGCUGCAGACUUGGUGUUGGAAGCCCUUUGGGGGCAUUCAGUGCCGGAGAGAAGUUGUUAAGUCUGCUACUUGGGGAGUACGUCCGCAAGGAUGAAACUUAAAGGAAUUGGCGGGGGAGCACCGCAACGGGAGGAGCGUGCGGUUUAAUUGGAUUCAACACCGUAAAACUCACCAGGGAAGACUGUUACAUGAAGGCCGAGAUGAAGACUCUGCUAGAUUUUCAG